UGGCGUCGUCCUGUGACAGCAGGCGAUAGGGUCCUGUAUCUGUUCUCCAUCUCAGAAUAAGAGUAGAGAUAGUAUCAAAAUCAUUUGAUUUGAUUAGUAUUUUGUCGGAUCGGGUAUAUUGUGAAUUCUAACUUGAGCCUUGUUGUCUGUGGUGAAGGGUCCCGUGAAGGGUAAAUUAUUAUGGUGGACAAAAUGGACUGAAACCUUGGCAGUUUAGUGUGAUGAAGAUCUUCAAGCUGCUGCGUUCCUUGGAACCAUUGAUCUAUAUCGUUACCGAAUAAGGAGUAAUUGGAAUUUAUUUGGAAUAUUAUAUACCGGUUUUGAUGAAUAAGGGGAACAAGUUACCCCCUCUCAAUAUUGAGUUGGAGAGACAGAGAGCCCCUCAACCGGUGACGACAAACGCUCUCGGAAUAGAACAUCAUAUGCCCCCAUCGAGACUGAUGGCACUGGAAGAUCAAGAGUUGGACAACAUAGCACCAAAUACAGAUGAUCUCUAUGGAUCUGGAUCGACAAAACAGGCAUCAAAUACUCCUGCAACUGUGACCAAUAUUGAGGUAGAAGAAGAGUUGAAAAAUUUAGAUAACAACAAUCCACCUCCUCCGGCCCCAGCAGCGGCAGCCAGCAUGUCGAACGCAAAUGGACGGCCGUUGUCCCGGGCCCGGCCGGUGUCGAGGGUCAGCCUACACCACGGGCACAUCGAUGCGGCAGUGGAAUAUGAAAUGAAUAAAUACAAGGACGAUUUUUCAGAAGAUGCAAUGGAAAAGAGGGCCAAAGUAAUCAAAUCCGUCCCUGCUACCCUUGACAGAAGGCGAAGUAUAAGG